UACAGAGGUCCCAAGCGUUGUUCGGAUUCACUGGGCGUAAAGGGCGCGUAGGCGGCGCGGGAAGUCAUCGGUGAAAGUUCAGGGCUCAACUCUGAAUCGGCCGGUGAUACUCUCGUGCUUGAGCACUGUAGAGGCAGGUGGAAUUCCGGGUGUAGCGGUGGAAUGCGUAGAGAUCCGGAAGAACACCGGUGGCGAAGGCGGCCUGCUGGGCAGUAGCUGACGCUGAUGCGCGACAGCGUGGGGAGCAAACAGG
rnacentral:rRNA from 1 species